rnacentral:rRNA from 1 species
UACGUAGGCAGCAAGCGUUGUUCGGAGAUACUGGGCGUAAAGGGUGUGUAGGCGGUUGUUUAAGUUUGGUGUGAAAUCUCCCGGCUCAACUGGGAGGGUGCGCCGAAUACUGAAUGACUCGAGUGCGGGAGAGGAAAGUGGAAUUCCUGGUGUAGCGGUGAAAUGCGUAGAUAUCAGGAGGAACACCGGUGGUGUAGACGGCUUUCUGGACCGUAACUGACGCUGAGACACGAAAGCGUGGGUAGCAAACAGG